rnacentral:lncRNA from 10 species
GGAAUCUCACUGUAACUUUUAUCUCCUCUGAUUUUUUUCCGCUCCCUAACACCUAGGUUCCUAUCGGUCGACGGGCUGUGGGUGUAUUGCUCAGUGACGGCUUCGUUUAGUUUCUCCCAGCACCCAUAAUUCAAAGCAAGAACAACGACAUUAUGGGGAGAAAACGUCCUUUUGUGAAACAGAAGGCAAUCCACACCAUUAGUAAACCCCAUCAAUUUUGCCUUCAGAAUAUAUCCAGAUUCUUCCCAAUUCUACCGCCACCAUUCUGGUUCAAGCUACCUGGU